rnacentral:rRNA from 1 species
GACGAACGCUGGCGGCGUGCUUAACACAUGCAAGUCGAACGGAAAGGCCACAGCUUGCUGUGGUGCUCGAGUGGCGAACGGGUGAGUAACACGUGGGUGACCUGCCCUGUACUUCGGGAUAACUUCGGGAAACUGGGUCUAAUACCGGAUAGGAAUCCCAUCUGCGUGGUUGGUUGGAAAGCUUUUGGGGUUUGGGAUGAGCUCGCGGCCUAUCAGCUUGUUGGUGGGGUAGUGGCCUACCAAGGCGUUGACGGGUAGCCGGCCUGAGAGGGUGUACGGCCACAUUGGGACUGAGAUACGGCCCAGACUCCUACGGGAGGCAGCAGUGGGGAAUAUUGCACAAUGGGCGGAAGCCUGAUGCAGCGACGCCGCGUGGGGGAUGACGGCCUUCGGGUUGUAAACCCCUUUCGUCAGGGACGAAGCGAAAGUGACAGUACCUGGUUAAGAAGCACCGGCUAACUACGUG